AUUUGAGAUAGAACGCAUAAACACAGUAAAUAGAAAAAGGGAAAGAAGGGAUCUCUUCACUGUAUAUAGAUCUGAAUGAAACUCUCAAGAACAAUGGAUGAAUAGCUUAUAUCUCUCACAAUAGGGUUGGCAAAGAACUUGAUAAAAGACUUGAUAAAAGAAACUUAGGUCUAAAAACAAUAUAUAUAGACCCUAAAGACGUCAGGGGACUAAUAAUGCAAAAACGGAAAUCUUCUGGGGCAAACUUGAGCUUCUGUAAACUCGAAAGCGUCUAGGUUUUUGCUGGGCCGAAACUGGUGUCGAUCGACACCAAGAGUGUGUCGAUCGACACUCCUCGCUGAUUCCUGAACCAAAAUCGUCCUUAGCUUCCUUUUCCUUAGCUUUUGCUCCAAAAUGUCUCCUUAUCUCCAUAUAUAUAUACUUACCUGAAAAUUGGAAU
rnacentral:sRNA from 1 species